rnacentral:rRNA from 1 species
UACAGAGGCCCCAAGCGUUACUGUGAAUCACUGGGUUUAAAGGGUGCGUAGGUGGUCCGUUAAGUUCGUUGUGAAAGCCCUGGGCUCAACCCAGGAACUGCUUCGAAUACUGGCGGACUUGAGGCUAGUAGGGGUUACUGGAACUGACGGUGGAGCGGUGAAAUGCGUAGAUAUCGUCAGGAACGCCAAUGGUGAAGACAGGUAACUGGGCUAGUUCUGACACUGAGGCACGAAAGCGUGGGGAGCGAACGGG